rnacentral:rRNA from 1 species
AUGCUUGAUUGUCAUCCUGCUCGUGCACCUGCUGAAAUUGGGUCCAAGCUAUCCUCCGGCAACGCGCCUAUUCCUGACGCUACCCUUUAUUGCAAUCUCACCGGAGCCUUGCAAUACAUGACCCUCGCUCGACCUGAGCUAGCCUGCUCCGUCCAACAAACUUAUCUCUACAUGCAUGAUCCUCGCCUUACUUGUCUUAACCAUGUCAAACGCGUUCUCCGCUACAUCAAAGGCACCCUAGACUGUGGCCUCUCCAUUAACACUUCCACUCCACAUUCUCUCACAGGGCACUCUGAUGUAGACUAG